rfam:Myotis davidii contig46080, whole genome shotgun sequence.
GGAGGUUUCUUGGGUGAUGCACCCCGGAAGUUGGCUCCCUCCUCUCUGGUUUUGGGUGCAUCACCUGAGAACCACA